ACGUCGCUGCCGUGAUCGUGGU
rnacentral:snRNA from 1 species